UACGUAGGAGGCGAGCGUUGUCCGGAAUUACUGGGCGUAAAGAGCGCGUAGGCGGCGCGAUACGACCGAUGUGAAAUCCCCGGGCUCAACCUGGGAACUGCAUUUGUGACUGCAUGGCUAGAGUACGGUAGAGGGGGAUGGAAUUCCGCGUGUAGCAGUGAAAUGCGUAGAUAUGCGGAGGAACACCGAUGGCGAAGGCAAUCCCCUGGACCUGUACUGACGCUCAUGCACGAAAGCGUGGGGAGCAAACAGG
rnacentral:rRNA from 1 species